ACUCCUACGGGAGGCAGCAGUGGGGAAUAUUGCACAAUGGGCGAAAGCCUGAUGCAGCAACGCCGCGUGAGGGACGAAGGCCUUCGGGUUGUAAACCUCUUUUAGUAGGGAAGAAGCGAAAGUGACGGUACCUGCAGAAAAAGCACCGGCUAACUACGUGCCAGCAGCCGCGGUAAUACGUAGGGUGCAAGCGUUAUCCGGAAUUAUUGGGCGUAAAGAGCUCGUAGGCGGUUUGUCGCGUCUGCUGUGAAAUCUGGGGGCUCAACCCCCAGCCUGCAGUGGGUACGGGCAGACUAGAGUGCGGUAGGGGAGAUUGGAAUUCCUGGUGUAGCGGUGGAAUGCGCGGAUAUCAGGAGGAACACCGAUGGCGAAGGCAGAUCUCUGGGCCGUAACUGACGCCGAGGA
rnacentral:rRNA from 1 species